rnacentral:rRNA from 1 species
CCUACGGGUGGCAGCAGUGAGGAAUAUUGGUCAAUGGACGAGAGUCUGAACCAGCCAAGUAGCGUGAAGGAUGACUGCCCUCUGGGUUGUAAACUUCUUUUAUAUGGGAAUAAAAUGUUCCACGUGUGGGCUUUUGUAUGUACCAUAUGAAUAAGGAUCGGCUAACUCCGUGCCAGCAGCCGCGGUAAUACGGAGGAUCCGAGGGUUAUCCGGAUUUAUUGGGUUUAAAGGGAGCGUAGGUGGAGUGUUAAGUCAGUUGUGAAAGUUUGCGGCUCAACCGUAAAAUUGCAGUUGAAACUGGCAGUCUUGAGUACAGUAGAGGUGGGCGGAAUUCGUGGUGUAGCGGUGAAAUGCUUAGAUAUCACGAAGAACUCCGAUUGCGAAGGGAGCUCACUGGACUGCAACUGACACUGAGGCUCGAAAGUGUGGGUAUCAAACAGGAUUAGAUACCCGUGUAGUC